rnacentral:rRNA from 1 species
UACGUAGGGGGCAAGCGUUGUCCGGAAUCAUUGGGCGUAAAGAGCGUGUAGGCGGUCCGUUAAGUCGGCUGUGAAAGCCCUCGGCUCAACCGGGGAAGUGCACUCGAAACUGCAUGGCUAGAGUCUCGGAGAGGAUCGUGGAAUUCUCGGUGUAGAGGUGAAAUUCGUAGAUAUCGAGAGGAACACCGGUGGCGAAGGCGGCGAUCUGGACGAUGACUGACGCUGAGGAACGAAAGCCAGGGUAGCGAACGGG